AUGGGGAGGAAAAACAAGGAGGAGAGGGGGGAGGGGGCAGAGAGGUACCUUGAUGGUGCCCUGCUGCACGUAGAAGAGUCCCUCUGGUGCUGGAUCGGAGAUGAGUCGCUGCCCUACAGCUUGAUCUGGAGGGGAAAGAGGGGCGGCGGGAAGGAGGCCAUGAGGGGAAAGGAGGUUGGGGAGGAGGGGAAAGGGGAGGAAGAGAUCGUGGCAGGGGCGGAGAGGAGGUGGUGCGGAAGCUGGAGCUUGCCGUUGGUGGAUGGUCGCCGGAGAGGACGAGGUCGAGAUGGCGGAUCCCAGGAGCCAGCUGCCACCGCCGACGGCUUCUACUACCCCGAGGAUGCCUACUACUACGUGGAGGACGCCAACGACCAAGAAUAG
rnacentral:rRNA from 1 species